rnacentral:rRNA from 1 species
GGACAACCUAACCUAUGGAGGGGGAUAACCCCGGGAAACUGGGGAUAAUACCCCAUAGACUAUAAAUGCUGGAAUGCUUUGUAGUUGAAAGGUCCGCCGCCAUAGGAUGGGUCUGCGGCCGAUUAGGUUGUUGUUGGGGUAACGGCCCAACAAGCCUGUAAUCGGUACGGGUUGUGGGAGCAAGAGCCCGGAGAUGGAUUCUGAGACACGAAUCCAGGCCCUACGGGGCGCAGCAGGCGCGAAAACUUUACAAUGCGGGAAACCGUGAUAAGGGAACUCCGAGUGCCCGUAAAAUCGGGCUGUCCAUCUGUGUAAAUAACAGGUGAAGAAAGGGCCGGGCAAGACCGGUGCCAGCCGCCGCGGUAAUACCGGCGGCUCGAGUGGUGGCCACUAUUACUGGGCUUAAAGCGUUCGUAGCUGGUCUGUUAAGUCUCUGGGGAAAUCUACUGGCUUAACCAAUAGGCGUCUCAGGGAUACUGGCAGACUAGGGACCGGGAGAGGUGAGAGGUACUCCAGGGGUAGGAGUGAAAUCCUGUAAUCCUUGGGGGACCACCUGUGGCGAAGGCGUCUCACCAGAACGGCUCCGACAGUGAGGGACGAAAGCUGGGGGAGCAAACCGGAUUAGAUACCCGGGUAGUCCCAGCUGUAAACGAUGCGCGUUAGGUGUAUCGAUGACCACGAGUCAUCGAGGUGCCGAAGAGAAAUCGUGAAACGUGCCGCCUGGGAAGUACGGUCGCAAGGCUGAAACUUAA